rnacentral:tRNA from 1 species
GGCAGUUUGGCCGAGUGGUCUAAGGCGUUGCGUUUAGGCCGCAAUCCGAGAGGGCGUGGGUUCGAACCCCACAGCUGUCA